AAAAUCCGUCGACUUUAGAAAUCGUGAGGGUUCAAGUCCCUCUAUCCCCCCAAAAAGACCGAUUUGACUAUUUCUCCUACCCUCUCUUUUUUUUAGUGGUUCAAAAUUCGUUCUCUUUCUCAUUCAUUCUACCUUUUUACAAACGUAUCAGAGCAGAAUUUUUUUUUAUCACAAUCACAAGUGGUGUGGUAUAUAUGAUAUACGUACAAAUGAACAUCUUUGAACAAAGAAUCCCGAUUCACAAUUCAUAUCAUUGCUCAUACUGAAACUUAUAAAUUAUUCUAUUCAAGAAAUCGAAUUCCACGCUCAAGACUUUUAAUACUUUUUUAAUUGACAUAGACCCCAGUCAUCUAGUAAAAUGAGGAUGAUGCGCCGGUAAUGGUCGGGAUAGCUCAGCUGGUAGAGCAGAGGACUGAAAAUCCUCGUGUC
rnacentral:tRNA from 1 species